rnacentral:rRNA from 1 species
GGCGAACGCUGGCGGCGUGCCUAAUACAUGCAAGUUGAGCGCUGAAGGCUGGUACUUGUACCAACUGGAUGAGCAGCGAACGGGUGAGUAACGCGUGGGGAAUCUGCCUUUGAGCGGGGGACAACAUUUGGAAACGAAUGCUAAUACCGCAUAAAAACUUUAAACACAAGUUUUAAGUUUGAAAGAUGCAAUUGCAUCACUCAAAGAUGAUCCCGCGUUGUAUUAGCUAGUUGGUGAGGUAAAGGCUCACCAAGGCGAUGAUACAUAGCCGACCUGAGAGGGUGAUCGGCCACAUUGGGACUGAGACACGGCCCAAACUCCUACGGGAGGCAGCAGUAGGGAAUCUUCGGAAAUGGACGAAAGUCUGACCGAGCAACGCCGCGUGAGUGAAGAAGGUUUUCGGAUCGUAAAACUCUGUUGGUAGAGAAGAAAGUUGGUGAGAGUGGAAAGCUCAUCAAGUGACGGUAACUACACAGAAAGGGACGGCUAACUACGUG